rnacentral:rRNA from 1 species
AAUGAACGCUGGCGGCAUGCCUAACACAUGCAAGUCGAACGAAGGCUUCGGCCUUAGUGGCGCACGGGUGCGUAACGCGUGGGAAUCUGCCCUCAGGUUCGGAAUAACAGCGAGAAAUUGCUGCUAAUACCGGAUGAUAUCGCGAGAUCAAAGGUUUAUCGCCUGAGGAUGAGCCCGCGUAGGAUUAGCUGGUUGGUGUGGUAAAGGCGCACCAAGGCGACGAUCCUUAGCUGGUCUGAGAGGAUGAUCAGCCACACUGGGACUGAGACACGGCCCAGACUCCUACGGGAGGCGGCAGUGGGGAAUAUUGGACAAUGGGCGAAAGCCUGAUCCAGCAAUGCCGCGUGAGUGAUGAAGGCCUUAGGGUUGUAAAGCUCUUUUACCCGGGAUGAUAAUGACUGUACCGGGAGAAUAAGCUCCGGCUAACUCCGUGCCAGCAGCCGCAGUAA